CAAAGUGACUGCAGUCUGGAAGCUCCCCUGUAACAACGAGAGUGACAAAAGACGCCUGACCUACACUCCUGACGUGUCACUUCACAAUGUUCAGGGCUACCACCAAGAUGUCUGCAAGACAUUUGAUUUAUCAUGUGGGCAUUUAAGUGUGACCACACAUGUGGAGAUCGGAGGACAACCUGCCACCACGUGGGUCCUGAGAAUCAAACUCACUUCAUCGGGCUUUGUGACAAACACCUUUAAAGCUCAGCCAUCUGAUCAGUGGCCCAGUGACAGACAACUGCUUUCUAAGGUUGUAUCUGAGAAGACAGGCUGAUAAGGAGACAUUGAGACCCGAGUGACAAAAGGACCGAACGCAGGCGUGUUCCAGGCAGAGGGAACAGCAAGGACACAGACACCAGAUUACUUGACACUAUCUGAGAAAUAACCUUGUAAAAUGCCACUUGUAUAUCCUCUAAAUUACAUGAUCAGUCAGGAGAAGAUGCCUAAUUAGCAACUGAAAAUCUCACUGCUUUGAAAGUGAUGCUAAUUUUCCAUUGGAUUUCUUCCCUGGAAAUGGAAAUGUAUGAACAAACCUUAUGCU